AGUGAACGCUGGCGGUAGGCCUAACACAUGCAAGUCGAACGGCAGCACAGUAAGAGCUUGCUCUUACGGGUGGCGAGUGGCGGACGGGUGAGGAAUACAUCGGAAUCUACUUUUUCGUGGGGGAUAACGUAGGGAAACUUACGCUAAUACCGCAUACGACCUACGGGUGAAAGCAGGGGAUCUUCGGACCUUGCGCGAUUGAAUGAGCCGAUGUCGGAUUAGCUAGUUGGCGGGGUAAAGGCCCACCAAGGCGACGAUCCGUAGCUGGUCUGAGAGGAUGAGCAGGCACACUGGAACUGUGACACGGUCCAGGCUCCUAACGGAGGCACGCGGGGGGAAUAUUGGAAAGUGGGCGAAAGCCUGAUCCAGCCAUGCCGCGGGGGUGGAGAAGGUCGCCGUCAUGGAAAGCAGUUUAAGUGGGGAGGAAAGGCAGUAAGUUAAUACCUGUCUGUUUUGACGUUACCAACAGAAUAAGCACCGGCUAACUUCGUG
rnacentral:rRNA from 1 species